UACGUAGGGGGCAAGCGUUGUCCGGAAUUAUUGGGCGUAAAGAGCUCGUAGGCGGUUUGUUGCGUCUAUCGUGAAAACCUGCAGCUUAACUGUGGGCUUGCGGUGGAUACGGGCAGACUUGAGUUCGGUAGGGGAGACUGGAAUUCCUGGUGUAGCGGUGAAAUGCGCAGAUAUCAGGAGGAACACCGGUGGCGAAGGCGGGUCUCUGGGCCGAUACUGACGCUGAGGCGCGAAAGCUAGGGGAGCGAACGGG
rnacentral:rRNA from 1 species